ACAGACACAGUACACAGAAUACAGACAGAGCAAACAACCGUUCGCCCCACAAAUGCUGCACGGGUUUUCUCUAACAUGAAGCAGCGCUAAAAUUUAGCGCGUUGGUAACAUCAAGAGUACAUAAUAGAUAAUCUCUAUUAUGUACUCUUGAUAACACGUACAGCGGCAAUGGAUGGCUUGCAAUCACGUUGAACUUUAGGAGAAUUACUGCCUAGCAAGCCAAGAAGAGCAAUGCACGCAGCACGCCACCUGGUGGAGAUAGUACGUACUUCCAACACAGCCAAAGUACCUUCUCAGCCAAAAUGAUAUAUAGAUCGCUAACUCUGUAGCUCGAGCCUAUACUGAUGAUACCUAUACAUCGAGUGACAAGCGUGUAGAACCCACUUGCGUGGGUAGUGGCAGUGAAUCUACAUCCCGUAGAGACUGUUCAGACCUCUGCUACACACACUUGGGUAGUGGCAGAAGAUCUGAGACGGUCCAGGCCUCCGCUACACACACGGGGGUAGUGACAUAGGAAGUGGCGCUGAUG